rnacentral:rRNA from 1 species
AUUGAACGCGGCGGCAUGCCUUACACAUGCAAGUCGAACGGCAGCACGGGAGCAAUCUUGGUGGCGAGUGGCGAACGGGUGAGUAAUACAUCGGAACGUGCCCAAUCGUGGGGGAUAACGCAGCGAAAGCUGUGCUAAUACCGCAUACGAUCUACGGAUGAAAGCAGGGGAUCGCAAGACCUUGCGCGAAUGGAGCGGCCGAUGGCAGAUUAGGUAGUUGGUGAGGUAAAGGCUCACCAAGCCGUCGAUCUGUAGCUGGUCUGAGAGGACGACCAGCCACACUGGGACUGAGACACGGCCCAGACUCCUACGGGAGGCAGCAGUGGGGAAUUUUGGACAAUGGGCGAAAGCCUGAUCCAGCCAUGCCGCGUGCAGGAUGAAGGCCUUCGGGUUGUAAACUGCUUUUGUACGGAACGAAACGGCCUUUUCUAAUAAAGAGGGCUAAUGACGGUACCGUAAGAAUAAGCACCGGCUAACUACGUGCCAGCAGCCGCGGUAAUACGUAGGGUGCAAGCGUUAAUCGGAAUUACUGGGCGUAAAGCGUGCGCAGGCGGUUAUGUAAGACAGUUGUGAAAUCCCCGGGCUCAACCUGGGAACUGCAUCUGUGACUGCAUAGCUAGAGUACGGUAGAGGGGGAUGGAAUUCCGCGUGUAGCAGUGAAAUGCGUAGAUAUGCGGAGGAACACCGAUGGCGAAGGCAAUCCCCUGGACCUGUACUGACGCUCAUGCACGAAAGCGUGGGGAGCAAACAGG